rnacentral:rRNA from 1 species
AUUGAACGCUGGCGGCAUGCCUUACACAUGCAAGUCGAACGGCAGCGGACCUUCGGGUGCCGGCGAGUGGCGAACGGGUGAGUAAAGUAUCGGAACGUACCUUUCAGUGGGGGAUAACGUAGCGAAAGUUACGCUAAUACCGCAUAUUCUGUGAGCAGGAAAGCAGGGGAUCGCAAGACCUUGCGCUGAUUGAGCGGCCGAUAUCAGAUUAGCUAGUUGGUGAGGUAAAGGCUCACCAAGGCGACGAUCUGUAGCGGGUCUGAGAGGAUGAUCCGCCACACUGGAACUGAGGCACGGUCCAGACUCCUCCGGGAGGCAGCAGUGGGGAAUUUUGGACAAUGGGGGCAACCCUGAUCCAGCCAUGCCGCGUGAGUGAAGAAGGCCUUCGGGUUGUAAAGCUCUUUCGGCCGGGAAGAAAUCGCGCCAGUUAAUACCUGGUGUGGAUGACGGUACCGGAAUAAGAAGCACCGGCUAACUACGUGCCAGCCGCCGCUGUAACAC